CGGAGGAAGGUGGGGAUGACGUCAAAUCAUCAUGCCCCUUAUGUCUAGGGCUGCAAACAUGCUACAAUGGCCGGUACAAAGGGCUGCGAUACUGUGAGGUGGAGCUAAUCCCAAAAAGCCGGUCUCAGUUCGGAUUGGGGUCUGCAACUCGACCCCAUGAAGUCGGA
rnacentral:rRNA from 1 species